UACGUGAGGGUCCGAGCGUUGUCCGGAAUUAUUGGGCGUAAAGGGCUCGUAGGCGGUUCGUCACGUCGGGAGUGAAAACCAGGUGCUUAACACCUGGCUUGCUUUCGAUACGGGCAGACUAGAGGUAUGCAGGGGAGAACGGAAUUCCUGGUGUAGCGGUGAAAUGCGCAGAUAUCAGGAGGAACACCGGUGGCGAAGGCGGUUCUCUGGGCAUUACCUGACGCUGAGGAGCGAAAGUGUGGGGAGCGAACAGG
rnacentral:rRNA from 1 species